AUUGAACGCUGGCGGCAUGCCUUACACAUGCAAGUCGAACGGCAGCGGACCUUCGGGUGCCGGCGAGUGGCGAACGGGUGAGUAAUAUAUCGGAACGUACCUUUCAGUGGGGGAUAACGUAGCGAAAGUUACGCUAAUACCGCAUAUUCUGUGAGCAGGAAAGCAGGGGAUCGCAAGACCUUGCGCUGAUUGAGCGGCCGAUAUCAGAUUAGCUAGUUGGUGAGUAAAGGCUCACCAAGGCGACGAUCUGUAGCGGGUCUGAGAGGAUGAUCCGCACACUGGAACUGAGACACGGUCCAGAUCCUACGGGAGGCAGCAGUGGGGAAUUUUGGACAAUGGCGGCAAGCCUGAUCAG
rnacentral:rRNA from 1 species